ensembl:lncRNA
CUCUGACCCAAUGGGAGGGCCUCGGCUCUCUGAAGGCCCCUGUGACUGUGGGUCCAACGCAGGCUCAGAGUCGUAUUAGAAGGGCUACCCGCGCUAGGCCACGCCUCUCAUUCCCGAGCCUCUCAGGGAGAAUCGUAGGAACCAUUAAAAAACGCUCACGGCUAUUAAAGGGUCCACAUGAUGGAUCCUACAGCGAGGUAGAGCCGCAAUUACUCAGCAACGUUUGCCGUCUUUCCAUCGCCCGUGACAUUAGCAUCAUCGUCUUCUGCGUAGUUUAUGGAGGGAUGAGGGUCGCCACCAUCCAGCCCUUCUGUCGCGCAUAUCAAAUCCCAGACGUCCACGCAACCGCCUGCCGUUCGGCAGCGGGGAAGGUGGGUCAAGGUCUGCCGGGUGAAGAAAACCAUUCACUCAGACUUUGUCUCCCCCUCUCUCUGUCUCCCUCCCUCUCUCUCUCUCUCUCCCCCGGCCCCUCUCGCUCUGUCUCCCUCCCCCUCUCUCUCUCUCUCUCCCCCCCCCUCUCGCUCUCUCUCUCCCCCCAGCGCCACUCGCUCUGUCUCCAUCUUCCCCCGAGUUAUGAAUUCAUUUCACGCCUCUGUGUGGAGACUGGACGCCCUACGGGAGGAACAGUACCUCCGACUUCUCAUUCUCUCUAAAGAAAAUACAAAUUCAGUAUUACGGUCGGACCACCGCUAACCCCCCAGCCCCGACCCCACCUCCACCCCCCCCCGCCCGGGCAUGACCCUAACCCUAACCCUGACGCAGAACCGCGGCUGCACCACCACUUGGUUUCUCUCCCACCACCUUGGUUUAAUGCCCCCAACGGUUGAGACAGUUUCACAGAUGGGAGACAUGUCUCCCUCCAUCUCUUCCCUAAAUAAGCCCCCGGCCCGGCAAUUACGACGAUGGCCCCACUCUCGGCCUCCGAUCGGAGUAAUUAGAAAUGAUUGCAACAUUAUUCGUUGACGCGGUAAUGGCACAAAGUGAAGCAGGCUCAUAUUUUAGUUUAGACAAGAGCAAGUGCAAUCUUUUUCUAAAGACCAAUUAUGACUGGAACGAGAAGAUGGCAAAUGUGCAUUCAAUCAGAAUUACUGACGAGACGUUCUGUCUAUUUCUGGACAUGGGCAAAUUCAGAGAGAGACCGAGAGAGACGGUAGGAGAGAGAGGGUGAGGUAUGGAGAGAGAGAGAGGGUGAAGGAUGGGGAGAGAGGGUGAGGGAUGGAGAGAGAGGGUGAGGGAUGGAGAGAGAGGGAGGCAGAGCGGGAGAGAGAGAGCGAGAGAUUACAUUCCAACAGACCCCUGCUACAGGAUUAAAUCCGCUCCCCCAUCAAAACAGAUCCCGACUCGCUGUGAUGGCGGUUGAACUGGCAUAAUGACACGAUUACACAUUAGGGUUAGGGUUAGGCUAACAGAUCCCGUCUCGCUGUGAUGGAGGUUGAACUGGCAUAAUGACACGAUUACACAUUAGGGUUAGGGUUAGGCUAACAGAUCCCGUCUCGCUGUGAUGGAGGUUGAACUGGCAUAAUGACACGAUUACACAUUAGGGUUAGGGUUAGGCUAACAGAUCCCGUCUCGCUGUGAUGGAGGUUGAACUGGCAUAAUGACACGAUUACACAUUAGGGUUAGGCUAACAGAUCCCGUCUCGCUGUGAUGGAGGUUGAACUGGCAUAAUGACACGAUUACACAUUCACGUUCCGCCAAGACGAAGAAAGCAACGUAGAGUGAAAACACUGAAGGUGGUGGAGUGGAAAUAUACAUAGAUAUCCGACUCCUUCCUCUUCCUCUCUCAUUAAACAGUCGCAUAACUCCUCAGGUCUGUCCUCAGAUCCUGGUCAUCUCAGCGCGGGUAACCAAGGGAACCUCAGAAGUGAGCGCCAGGAAGUGGAUUACUUCCCUAUAGGAGGGGAGGAGGUGGGGGCACAGAUGACCAUGUGUGUGAGGUUGAAUGUCAGAGGUAUGGCGGGCCAUGCCUGGUUGUACGAUUAUCCCCCCCCCCCACCCGCCGGCUGGCUUCACAGUGUAAGGGAUGUUCUGGAUGGACCUCACACAGAAUCCUUAAACACACACACGCAGAUACACACGCAGAUACACACGCACACGCACACACACACACACACACACACACAGGAAGGAGAAAAAAUAAAGAAAUGGCACAGAUGAUCCAUGGGGCUCCCUGUCACAGGAGCUGCAGAGGACGAUGGAGCCGAUCAAACAGGCAGUAGGCGCGUCAUUAAGGAAGCAGAGCUCCGUGAGCGCUGAUAGCCUCCAGCAGGUAAUCAGAGCCUGACCACAGCGCUGGGAUCCUCUCUGUACAGCAGGUGAUGUCUGAUCACACCCCUGAUACAGCCAUUAAUCAGCUCCACUAAUGAAGGCCAAACAACAAUCUGAGGACCGGCGGAUGAGAGGAUGCAUGUGGAGGGGGGCGUCUUUGCGUGUGUAUAUCUGUGCAGGCUGCUGAGCGACAGCGCAGACUAUUAGCCAGGAGCCGCCGGGUGGGGGGGGGCCUACGGCGGGACGCGUCCCACAGCAGAUGCAUCAUCCGGGCUCCACUUGAGCGCGUGCAGCGUCAUGCAUAUGGAUGGCCCGCAGCCCCCCCCGUAUAAUGACGGGGGCAUGUUUACGCCUGGAAAUAAAAAGGAUGACCUCAAGCCAUGAAUAACACACGCACACAACGCAGGGCACACACAAGCACACACACGGCAGGGGCACACACACACACACACACACUUCGCUUGACACCCUUGGCACACACACACACGCGCUUUGGAGGAAGGAGAAGUCGACUCUAUUGGAUUUCAGGGGGGGAGGAAUGGGCUCGCAGCGCCUCAGACAGCCUCCGUGUGGCGGGGGGGGGGUAGAGACGAAGGGCGGGCCAGUCAUUUAUCAUGGGGUGUCAGUCCGGUGCAGAGAGGGAGGAGGCGGCCUGUGGUAGGGGCGUCUGCGGUUCAGGUUCAUAUAAAUGGAGUGCAGGUAGAAUCAAUGUGGAGCUGGGGCUGAGCGAGAGAGAGAUCAAUGCUGGGGGGGGGCUGUUUGUUCACGUUGUUUAUCCAGCGUCACCCCGCCAGGACGCUGAAGGACAAGCGAGCGGGAGACACACACACACACACACACACACACACACACACACACACACACACACACACACACACACACACACACACACACACACACACACACACACACACACACACACACACACACACACCUUAUUGAUCCAAGAAUGCGUGUGUGUCCUCCACUCCAGUGGAGAUGCUAUAAUAAUAUAUAUAAUAAUAUAUAUUAUAGCAUUAGUCACGGCAGGGGUCCCGCUGAAGGGCCUGUCAGCAGCUGAUCCCGGGCGAGGCCGCGGCCCAACGGCCUCAUGGAGAUCCCCUAAUGCCCGUGGCUAGGAGGCAGAAGUACUGACCUGAACUGACCUGAGCCGGAGAAAACCUUCGCACGGAACGGCUACCGCAAUCUACAGCGACGAUCGCACGGCGGGAAGCAGCGACAGAGGAACACACAACAAUAACAAGAGGGAGGAAGAGGAAACUCAGAGGCAGAGCGCUCAGAACACGAGGAGAGGGAGAGCGCCCUCUGCCAGACUCAGAACACGAGGCGAGGAGUGUUCAGAGCGCAGGCGGCCGGCAGAGCUCCUCCAUCACUCUGGGACCAGCGAGCGAAGAGGCAGCGAGGGCGGAGCGGGUUGAUGUAUCUGCCAGAGUAAUACACGGCAGUACAAUAUCUUCCCAUGAAAUGAUGAUGAGAUAGAUUUAAGAGGCCGGCCACUGAAUUUAAGGUAGCAGAGCUAUAUCACCCCCCCGGGAUCCAAAGCCCCUGCACUCGGUUCCUCUCCACCCGCCUCCCUCCUUCCUGCCUCUCUCUCCCUCUCUCCAUCAUCCUCCUCCACCUCCCUUCAUGUUCAGAUAAGACUGAGACCCGCACUGAUCAGACUGUGAUACGCAAAGCACAAAACGCCUUCCCAUGGGAAUAUCAACAGCGGGGAAGAAUAGCUGACACAAGGAGAGAUGGGAUUCCAUUGUGCUGCCCAUAUUUUUGCCCAUCCGAUCAAACGGAUAGGAUUUCAUACUCACCGCACGGAAAUGCAUUCAAAAAUAGUCAAAGCGCUUUAAAGGAAAACCAAACUGCUAUGUUUGUGUGUCUAAAUGUGCGCGCGUGCGUGCGUGCGUGCGUGUGUGUGUGUGUCUAAGUAUGUAUUUGUGUGGGGGAAGGAAAGAAGUAGUAAUUUGACAACUGGGGAUGUAUGGGAUUUAUAUCAACAAAGCAGCCGCAGCCGCGUGCUCUCGUUAACCGUGAUGUUAUUCGCCAUAGCUCCUAGAUAACGUUACGAAAUACCUCCGUUCCCACGAGGGCCAACCUGCACUCCCUCAUGCAUUCAUUAGCAGCCGGGCGCUAUAGGCUGACAGCAGAACCUAUGGCGUCCGUAUGGCCAUGACAGGGCUCCUCCUCCCUACUCCGGGCUCCUCCUCCCUACUCCGGGCUCCCCGGCCCUACUCCGGGCUCCUCCUCCCUACUCCGGGCUCCUCCUCCCUACUCCGGGCUCCUCCUCCCUACUCCGGGCUCCUCCUCCCUACUCCGGGCUCCUCGCCCCUACUCCGGGCUCCUCCUCCCUACUCCGGGCUCCUCGCCCCUACUCCGGGCUCCUCGCCCCUACUCCGGGCUCCUCCUCCCUACUCCGGGCUCCUCCUCCCUACUCCGGGCUCC